rnacentral:lncRNA from 1 species
AAUCUUGCAUGGAAUGCUUGUAUCUCUUUCUACGACUACUAGAGUGGUGUGCUGGUGAAAUUAUAUUCUUUCCACCAUUGUAUAACAGAAAGGAAACAUUCCAGAUUUACAAGGUGUAGUAGAAAUGCUAAGUGACGGCCUGAAGCAGUGAUUGAACACCUGGUGAGAAGGCAGGGCAACCCAGGGGAGCUCAGGAUCCACCAUUUCCCAGACCUCAUGUAAGGGUUGGCAGUGGAGGUGAGGAUAUCUUGUUGGAGAUCCCUACCUACCUGAGGCAUUCCAAAGGAAUUUUCCAGUUUUCUUCUGAACAUGCCAUCUGGACAUGGAGAGACUGGAUCAGGAAAGUGAAGGCACAGCUGGAAUGGAACUUGGCAAGGGAUAUGGAAGUUAACAAGACUCUACGGAUACUAUGAUCAGAAGAGACAGAUCAAGGAGAGUCUACCCCUUCACAUAAAUUAAAAGUAAGAACUAGCUACAACAAACAUGGAGAAGGCUGACAUUAUCAAGUUCCUUGCCUCAGUCUUCACUGGCAGUCAAAUUUCUCACAUCUCUCAUAUCCCCGAACCUCUAGGCAGAGGUCGGGAUAGCAAAAUUUCCUCCGCUGUAAAUUCAAAACUACCUUAUGGGGCUAAAUGUAUAGAAGUCUAUGGGGCUGGAUGACAUGCAUUCCAGGGUCCAGAAGGAAAUGAGUGAUGUGGUUGCCAAGCCACGCACCAUCAUAUCUGAAAGGUCAUGGUUGUCAUGUGAAGUCCUCAGUGACUGGAGAAAGGAAAACAUCACUCCGAUUUUUAAGAAAGGGAAAAAGGAAGAGUUGGGAAACUACAGGCUGGUGAGCCUCACCUCUGUGCCUGGGAAGUUCAUGGAGCAGGUCCUCCAGGAAGUUAGAUUAAGGUGCAUGCAAGACAAGGAGAUCCAAGAUGGCCAGUACAGCUUCACCAAGGGAAGAUCGUGCCCAACCAGUCCAAUGGCCUUCUGUGAUUGGGUAAAAGUGUCUAGUUCAAGAUCUGAAGGGACUGUGAAAUUGCUUUUCCAAUGGUGAGUGAAAACACAGUCAGACAC